UACAGAGGUGGCAAGCGUUGUUCGGAAUUACUGGGCGUAAAGGGCGCGUAGGCGGUCGCCUAAGUCAGAUGUGAAAUCCCCGGGCUUAACCUGGGAACUGCGUUUGAAACUACAAGGCUAGAGUGUGGCAGAGGGGGGUGGAAUUCCACGUGUAGCAGUGAAAUGCGUAGAGAUGUGGAGGAACACCGAUGGCGAAGGCAGCCCCCUGGGUUAACACUGACGCUCAGGCACGAAAGCGUGGGGAGCAAACAGG
rnacentral:rRNA from 1 species